AGUGGCGGACGGGUGAGGAAUACAUCGGAAUCUACUUUUUCGUGGGGGAUAACGUAGGGAAACUUACGCUAAUACCGCAUACGAUUGAAUGAGCCGAUGCCCGAUUAGCUAGUUGGCGGGGUAAGAGCCCACCAAGGCGACGAUCGGUAGCUGGUCUGAGAGGAUGAUCAGCCACACUGGAACUGAGACACGGUCCAGACUCCUACGGGAGGCAGCAGUGGGGAAUAUUGGACAAUGGGCGCAAGCCUGAUCCAGCCAUACCGCGUGGGUGAAGAAGGCCUUCGGGUUGUAAAGCCCUUUUGUUGGGAAAGCGGUACCCAAAGAAUAAGCACCGGCUAACUUCGUGCCAGCAGCCGCGGUAAUACGAAGGGUGCAAGCGUUACUCGGAAUUACUGGGCGUAAAGCGUGCGUAGGUGGUUGUUUAAGUCUGUCGUGAAAGCCCUGGGCUCAACCUGGGAAUUGCGAUGGAAACUGGGCGACUAGAGUGUGGCAGAGGAUAGUGGAAUUCCUGGUGUAGCAGUGAAAUGCGUA
rnacentral:rRNA from 1 species